UACAGAGGUCUCAAGCGUUGUUCGGAUUCAUUGGGCGUAAAGGGUGUGUAGGUGGCGCGCUAAGUCGGGUGUGAAAUUUCGGAGCUUAACUCCGAAACUGCAUUCGAUACUGGCGUGCUUGAGGACUGGAGAGGAGACUGGAAUUUACGGUGUAGCAGUGAAAUGCGUAGAGAUCGAUAAGGAAGACCAGUGGCGAAGGCGGGUCUCUGGACAGUUCCUGACACUGAGGCACGAAGGCCAGGGGAGCAAACGGG
rnacentral:rRNA from 1 species